rnacentral:rRNA from 1 species
AAUGCAUGGGCGGGUGCUUACACAUGCAAGUCGAACGGGAUCCAUCAGGCUUUGCUUGGUGGUGAGAGUGGCGAACGGGUGAGUAAUGCGUGACCGACCUGCCCCAUACACCGGAAUAGCUCCUGGAAACGGGUGGUAAUGCCGGAUGCUCCGACUCCUCGCAUGGGGUGUCGGGAAAGAUUUCAUCGGUAUGGGAUGGGGUCGCGUCCUAUCAGGUAGUCGGCGGGGUAACGGCCCACCGAGCCUACGACGGGUAGCCGGCCUGAGAGGGCGACCGGCCACAUUGGGACUGAGAUACGGCCCAGACUCCUACGGGAGGCAGCAGUGGGGAAUAUUGCACAAUGGGCGCAAGCCUGAUGCAGCGACGCCGCGUGCGGGAUGACGGCCUUCGGGUUGUAAACCGCUUUUGAUCGGGAGCAAGCCUUCGGGUGAGUGUACCUUUCGAAUAAGCACCGGCUAACUACGUGCCAGCAGCCGCGGUAAUACGUAGGGUGCAAGCGUUAUCCGGAAUUAUUGGGCGUAAAGGGCUCGUAGGCGGUUCGUCGCGUCCGGUGUGAAAGUCCAUCGCUUAACGGUGGAUCUGCGCCGGGUACGGGCGGGCUGGAGUGCGGUAGGGGAGACUGGAAUUCCCGGUGUAACGGUGGAAUGUGUAGAUAUCGGGAAGAACACCAAUGGCGAAGGCAGGUCUCUGGGCCGUUACUGACGCUGAGGAGCGAAAGCGUGGGGAGCGAACAGGAUUAGAUACCCUGGUAGUCCACGCCGUAAACGGUGGAUGCUGGAUGUGGGGCCCGUUCCACGGGUUCCGUGUCGGAGCUAACGCGUUAAGCAUCCCGCCUGGGGAGUACGGCCGCAAGGCUAAAACUCAAAGAAAUUGACGGGGGCCCGCACAAGCGGCGGAGCAUGCGGAUUAAUUCGAUGCAACGCGAAGAACCUUACCUGGGCUUGACAUGUUCCCGACAGCCGUAGAGAUAUGGCCUCCCUUCGGGGCGGGUUCACAGGUGGUGCAUGGUCGUCGUCAGCUCGUGUCGUGAGAUGUUGGGUUAAGUCCCGCAACGAGCGCAACCCUCGCCCUGUGUUGCCAGCACGUCAUGGUGGGAACUCACGGGGGACCGCCGGGGUCAACUCGGAGGAAGGUGGGGAUGACGUCAGAUCAUCAUGCCCCUUACGUCCAGGGCUUCACGCAUGCUACAAUGGCCGGUACAACGGGAUGCGACACGGCGACGUGGAGCGGAUCCCUGAAAACCGGUCUCAGUUCGGAUUGGAGUCUGCAACCCGACUCCAUGAAGGCGGAGUCGCUAGUAAUCGCGGAUCAGCAACGCCGCGGUGAAUGCGUUCCCGGGCCUUGUACACACCGCCCGUCAAGUCAUGAAAGUGGGUAGCACCCGAAGCCGGUGGCCUAACCCUUUGUGGAUGGAGCCGUCUAAGUAGACUCACCG